UUGUCCCAGCUUCUUUGUCACUCGUGAGCCCCUGGGAUCAUACCUGAUUUUAUGCUAACGAGGUGACCAGCGGUCAGGCCCAGACAGCUUCAGGAUUGGGGAUGGUCACCUGAAAUACAACCGUGUGUUUAGGGGGUUGGACUUGGAGCCUGUGCAGCCUCAGGGGAGCCCUAUGGGAGGAUUGGGAAAAGGGGAGCUAGAGACUGAGUUAAAUAUUACAACUGAGGGGGUCAAGCAAUCAUGGCGAUGAUGUCAUGAAAUCCAAUACAAACUCUGGACUGGAAGCUCAGUGGACCUCCCUGGUUGGUGAACACGUCAUUGCUCUGGCGGGGUACAUGCCUGGGCUCCACGGAGAGAGGGCCCGGACCCCUCUGCCUUCGGGCCCUCCCAGCCCUUGCCCUAUGGGGCUCUCCGUUCAGCUGGUCUGAUGUGUCUCCUUCGUAAUGAAACCGUUAUAGCAAGCGUAGCACUUUCUUCAGGUCUGCGAGUCAGUGGAUCACUGAACCUGCGGAGGGCCGCGCUGCCCCAAGUUUGCAGCCAGCUGGUCAGAAGCUCAAGGGCCAGGGUGCCGGGGUGGCUCCAUCGGCUAAAGCCCCUGAUUUCGGCCACGGUCUCCAUCAGGCUCAGGAGCAGCUCUACUAUGACCGCAGCACAUUCCACUGCGACUUCCCCCUUCUCCUUUUGGCCUUGA
rnacentral:lncRNA from 1 species